rnacentral:lncRNA from 1 species
UGUGCUGUAUGGCCAAGAGUCCACCGUCUACUUUGUGGCUCUUCUCUCCUGUUCCUUCAAUGGCUGAAGAGCCUCAGAAUCAAGUUUAUGUCUGUUUCUCACAUGAUACCGUCUCCCUGCGUGACCACCUCUGUUUCUGGCUUUGCCUGCUAGAUGUGGACCUCAGCCAUGGCGUUUCUUGUCAACUGCCAGCUCACCUGCCCCCGACACCGGACAUACGUGUCUCCAUGUCUGCCAGUGACCUGCCGAGGGGCCCGCAGAUUUUCUGUGAGCACUUCCUGUGUGCUUCUACCUCUCUGCUCAGGCAGCAGAGAGAAAGAUACAGAGAGAGUACAAGUAGAGCAGCAGGCGGACAGUGAGGGAGAAGCAGGCUCCCAAGGAGCAGGGAGCCUGAUGCGAGGCUCCAUCCCAGCACCCUGGGAUCAUGACCUGAGCUGACAGCGGCCACAAAACUGAGCCCCCCAGGCACCAUGAGAACCCUGUCUUUAACUUCACCUGCUACUACAUACUCUGGAAGGUAUUGUCAAAAUGUUUUUUCUGUUUAACACUAGAUAACUACUGAGGUGUUGAAUGAGUUUUGUAGAGCUAAAUCAUAAAAUUUAAUGUAUUUGUGUUUUCAUUUCCAAAGCCUGCAUCACAACAGGCCUCAGACAUCAGCAAUGGCCACAAGACACCACUGGCAGCUCACCAGUAAGAAAGAUCACCUGUCCAGGUAAAACUCUGAGACCCAGGAAAUGAUGGAGAGAAACUCCUCCAAUCCUAAAGGAUUCCUGUUAUU